AGGUGAACCUGCGGAAGGAUCAUUACCGAGUGAGGGCCCUCUGGGUCCAACCUCCCACCCGUGUCUAUCGUACCUUGUUGCUUCGGCGGGCCCGCCGUUUCGACGGCCGCCGGGGAGGCCCUGCGCCCCCGGGCCCGCGCCCGCCGAAGACCCCAACAUGAACGCUGUUCUGAAAGUAUGCAGUCUGAGUUGAUUAUCGUAAUCAGUUAAAACUUUCAACAACGGAUCUCUUGGUUCCGGCAUCGAUGAAGAACGCAGCGAAAUGCGAUAAGUAAUGUGAAUUGCAGAAUUCAGUGAAUCAUCGAGUCUUUGAACGCACAUUGCGCCCCCUGGUAUUCCGGGGGGCAUGCCUGUCCGAGCGUCAUUGCUGCCCUCAAGCACGGCUUGUGUGUUGGGCCCCCGUCCCCCUCUCCCGGGGGACGGGCCCGAAAGGCAGCGGCGGCACCGCGUCCGGUCCUUCGAGCCGUAUGGGGCUUUUGUCACCUUGCUCUGUAGGCCCGGCCGGCGCCAGCCGACACCCAACUUUAUUUUUCUAAGGUUGACCUCGGAUCAGGUAGGGAUACCCGCUCAACUUAAGCAUAUCAAUAAAGCGG
rnacentral:rRNA from 1 species